GGGUGACACAGUGACAGAGUGAGGGAGCGGGUGACACAGUGACAGAGUUAGGGAGGGAGUGACUAGUGACAGAGAGAGGGAUGGGGUGACUAGUGACAGUCACCCCCCUCACUCUGUCACUAGUCACCCCUUCCCUCCCUCACUUUGCCACUAGUCAUCUCUUCCCUCCCUCACUCUGCCACUAGUCACCCAUUCCCUCACUCUGUCACUAGUCACCCCUAUCUCCCUCCCUCUGUCACUAGUCACCCACUCCCUCACUCUGUCACCAGUCACACC